GACGAGGUGGCUGAGUGUUUAAGGUGACGGACUGCUAAUCCAUUGGGCUCUGCCGACGAAUGUUCGAAUCCCACUCUUGUCG
rnacentral:tRNA from 1 species